AGUGAACGCUGGCGGUAGGCCUAACACAUGCAAGUCGAACGGCAGCACAGUAAGAGCUUGCUCUUACGGGUGGCGAGUGGCGGACGGGUGAGGAAUACAUCGGAAUCUACUUUUUCGUGGGGGAUAACGUAGGGAAACUUACGCUAAUACCGCAUACGACCUACGGGUGAAAGCAGGGGAUCUUCGGACCUUGCGCGAUUGAAUGAGCCGAUGUCGGAUUAGCUAGUUGGCGGGGUAAAGGCCCACCAAGGCGGCGAUUCGUAGCUGGUCUGAGUGGCUGAUCGGCCACACUGGAGCGUAGACACGGUCCAGACGACUGCGGGAGGCAGCAGUGGGGAAUAUUGGACAAUGGGCGCAAGCCUGAUCCAGCGAUACCGCGUGGGUGAAGAAGGCCUUCGGGUUGUAAAGCCCUUUUGUUGGGAAAGAAAAGCAGCAGGUUAAUACCCCGCUGUUCUGACGGUACCCAAAGAAUAAGCACCGGCUAACUUCGUG
rnacentral:rRNA from 1 species